CCUGAGUACAGUGGCGCACGGGUGAGUAACACGUGAAUAAUCUACCUCCGAGUGGGGAAUAACUGAGAGAAAUCUUAGCUAAUACCGCAUAACACUUACGAGUCAAAGCAGCAAUGCGCUUGGAGAGGAGUUCGCGGCCGAUUAGUUAGUUGGCGGGGUAAUGGCCCACCAAGACGAUGAUCGGUAUCCGGCCUGAGAGGGCGCACGGACACACUGGAACUGAAACACGGUCCAGACUCCUACGGGAGGCAGCAGUGGGGAAUUUUGCGCAAUGGGGGAAACCCUGACGCAGCAACGCCGCGUGGAGGAUGAAAUAUCUUGGUAUGUAAACUCCUUUCGAUGGGGAAGAUUAUGACGGUACCCAUAGAAGAAGCCCCGGCUAACUUCGUGCCAGCAGCCGCGGUAAUACGAGGGGGGCAAGCGUUGUUCGGAUUUAUUGGGCGUAAAGGGUGCGUAGGCGGUUUGGCAAGUCUGAUGUGAAAUCUAUGGGCUCAACCCAUAGUCUGCAUCAGAAACUGCCGGGCUUGAGUAUGGGAGAGGUGAGUGGAAUUUCCGGUGUAGCGGUGAAAUGCGUAGAUAUCGGAAGGAACACCUGUGGCGAAAGCGGCUCACUGGACCAUAACUGACGCUGAUGCACGAAAGCUAGGGGAGCAAACAGGAUUAGAUACCCUGGUAGUCCUAGCCCUAAACGAUGAUUG
rnacentral:rRNA from 1 species